rnacentral:rRNA from 1 species
GACCAAAGGGGGCGAGCGUAAGCGGCUCCCGCUGAWGGAUGGGCCUGCGGCUGAUUAGCUAGUUGGUGGGGUAGCGGCCUACCAAGGCGACGAUCAGUAGCCGACCUGAGAGGGUGACCGGCCACACUGGGACUGAGACACGGCCCAGACUCCUACGGGAGGCAGCAGUGGGGAAUAUUGCGCAAUGGGCGAAAGCCUGACGCAGCGACGCCGCGUGGGUGAUGAAGGCCUUCGGGUCGUAAAACCCUGUCGGGUGGAACGAAUCUCCGCCUUGCUAAUACCGAGGCGGCUUGACGGUACCACCGAAGGAAGCCCCGGCUAACUACGUGCCAGCAGCCGCGGUAGUACGUAGGGGGCGAGCGUUGUUCGGAUUUACUGGGCGUAAAGAGCGCGUAGGCGGUUCGAUCAGUCGGAGGUGAAAUCCCUCGGCUUAACCGAGGACCCGCGUCCGAUACUGUCGAACUUGAGUGCAGGAGAGGAGAGCGGAAUUCCCAGUGUAGCGGUGAAAUGCGUAGAUAUUGGGAGGAACACCGGUGGCGAAGGCGGCUCUCUGGACUGUCACUGACGCUGAGGCGCGAAAGCUAGGGGAGCAAACGGGAUUAGAUACCCCGGUAGUCCUAGCCGUAAACGAUGGGCACUAGGUGUGGGAGGUAUCGACCCCUUCCGUGCCGCAGCUAACGCAUUAAGUGCCCCGCCUGGGGAGUACGGUCGCAAGGUUGAAACUCAAAGGAAUUGACGGGGGCCCGCACAAGCGGUGGAGCAUGUGGUUUAAUUCGACGCAACGCGAAGAACCUUACCAGGACUUGACAUCCCGCGAAUCCCUUCGAAAGAAGGG